CUGAACCAGCCAAGUAGCGUGAAGGAUGACUGCCCUAUGGGUUGUAAACUUCCUUUAUAAAGGAAUAAAGUCGGGUAUGCAUACCCGUUUGCAUGUACUUUAUGAAUAAGGAUCGGCUAACUCCGUGCCAGCAGCCGCGGUAAUACGGAGGAUCCGAGCGUUAUCCGGAUUUAUUGGGUUUAAAGGGAGCGUAGAUGGAUGUUUAAGUCAGUUGUGAAAGUUUGCGG
rnacentral:rRNA from 1 species